UCAACGAGUCCUGUGGUACUAAGUACUGACUUCACUUUUGUCCGCUUCCAAAUAUGAUGAUUUUCUGGCAUGGUAACGGUAGGAGACCCUUAUAUUUUUACCUUAUUUACUAGUUUGAUUAUAAUAAGAAUUUUACCGUCUCCGUUAUUGAGUUAAUAGUUUAAUUGGUCCCUAAAGGAGUUUUGGGGACGAUUAUGUGCGGAGGAUUAUUCGUGGGAGGAAAAUAUGUGGACGGUAAAAAUGGUAAAUUUUAGCUAGUAAAAGGUAAUUUUUAUUAGGGUAUUAUUUUGGUGUGUAAAUUUUAGAGUGGGUUUUGGUAUAUAAGGUUGUUGGACCGGGUGUAGAGGCCCAUUUCUCUUUUCUCUUUUUCUCCUCUUUUCUCCUCCCGGUUCUCUCUCUCUCCCGAGCUCCUCCCGCUGUCCGGUUUUCCGGCCGUCCUCCUGCCGCCGUCCGGCCACCGUCUGCCGCCGCUCCGGUCCUAAACUGACUGCCUCCGACCCAGCUUCCAUUCUAGGCCGGUAGCAGCUCCCCUAGCGCCGCCGUGAGAGAGCGGUGCCGCUCGAAAGGUUUGACUGCCUAGAGCUUCCGGUCGCCGGAACUCCCUCCUCCGGCCACCAAAACCGGUGAUCCUUGGCUCGUUUUGUAGCCCUCCUCCCGUGCAGCAACCCCUCCAAUCAGCUCACUCCCUCUUGAGUUAGGUAAGGAGAAAUGUGGAGUUGAAAUUUCUAGGGCUUUCAGGUGUUUGUGUUCGAUUGCCCUAAUUAGGCUUGGAUUUUGGGUUUGUGCUGGUCAGGAAAGUUGUAGAGCUUGAUGAGAGGAGUAUUCUGUUAAAAUUACAUAGAUUUUGGAGGUCGCCGGAAUUGGCCUCCGGCCGCCGGUUGAGAGAUUUUAAUGUUGUUAAAUUUGGAAUAUUAAGGGGAGUUUAUUGAAGUGAGUUAUGGAAUUUUUGGAUGAGUUUUGGAUAGGUUUAUGAAUUUCCGAAGUUAGUAUUUUUGGCGGUUAAUUUAUGUAGAAUCCGGCCGUUGGAUUAAAGUUGUUUAAACUGUGGGAAAGUGUAAUUACGGCUGCUGGUUCUAGGGUUGAAAUGUGGACCAUUUCGAAGUUAGGCAAUGAUGAACGUGUUAAUGGCUCUCAGUUAAUUUCUGCCUAUUUUGUGUAAAUAUUGGAAUUUCGGCUGGGAACUUAAUAUUAUAUUUGGAACAGGUUGUGAGGAGGCUCGAGCUGACGAGGCCCUAGAUCGACAUCAGGCUUAGGCCUAAUUUGUGAGUGGACUUUUGUUUUAAAUAAUGUGCAUGCGAAAUAAUUUAUGUUGUUGGAGAAUAACCGAAAUUGAGAAUUUCGGUGAGUAUAUAUAUAUCCAUAUGUGGAUGAUUAUGAGAAUAAUAUGUAUAUGAGAGAAUGCUAGCUAGCUGUACGUGCUUUUCCACCAUAAUGAAGUAAAAUUCCAUUAUGGUGCGACGUGAACGUUAGACGUAAUCGUCGUAGCCCUAUAUAAAAAUAAUAAUUUAUAUAAUGGAUAUGCGCGUAUAUUUAUACACCGUCUUUUCCACCAUAAUGAGGUAAAAUGUCAUUAUGGUGCGACGUGAGCGUUAGACGCAAGCGUCGUAGCCUUGUGUGAAUUUUCUAUUUGUUUUUGUUGUUUCAAGAAAAUUCAUACAAGGGAUAUGACGAGUGUAAUACAUACAUAUUUUAUUUUAGCUUGAGAGGCUGUAUUUUAUUAAGCGUUGGAGACUGGCCGGAGCUAGUCAUGAAAUUUCUAGUUUUCGUGUUGAGUGUUUUGAGCUGUCGCAUGCAGCAUAUUUUUCUAUGGAAAAGUAAAAAUUAGGAAAGCAUAAAGAAAUAUUUUAUUUAUUUUAUUUUUGUUCACUCACUCUAACGUGUUCAAAUGUUUCCCCUGGGCCCUUCGUUUUAAAAUGCCCAGUCUGCAGAGUUCGGGUUGGACCUAGUAGGAGACGAGGCAUAGUCACCCGCAUUUCCACCACUUUUCAUUAGUAGGUUACCUGUUUAACCUACCUGUGGUUUCUUUUUCCGCUAGUGUUUAGUAGCUCUGAAUACUUGGGUUUAAUGUAUAUUUUUUUCGGUUGUGGGUGAAGACUUGUUGACGUCUUAGAAUAUUUGUUGGAGGAUUUAUGUUAUCUUUUGGAUAAUGAUAUUUGAUGUUUGGAUAAUGUUGUGUUGUUGGUGGUAGUUGUAUUUGGGGAGCACGUAGGCUCCAGGAGUUAAGGUUGGAUUAAAAUUUUUGGAAGUGUUUGCAGGUUUUCUUUAGGAAGGGUUGUCCAUUUUCAAGGGAGGUUAUGCCGAUUUUUCGGUAAUAUCUUUCUUGGAGGUGGUCCCCGCACAACUUACUCCGGGUUUCAGGGUGAAAUUCGGGAUGGGUCGUGUUAGUAACAAUGGGCCUUCUCAGUGAUAUUGGCGGGAUGGCUUCCAAGUUUGAAGAGAUCACCUUCAAGUAUGUCCCUCGGGAAGCAAAUUUUGUGGCCGAUGCAAUGGCUAGCUUGGGGCAUCAGGUUCCAAAUCCAACUCUCUGGAAUUGCAAGCUUCCGCUCUCCGCGCUUAAUGCCUUUAAUUUUGUUCAUUUAGUUUAGGUUGUUGUAGAGACUUCUCUUUGUAAUUUCUUUUCUCUCAUAACAAAAAUAAAAUAAUGGGCCUAUGAGCAUGAUAGUAUGUCUCGUAUGGUUAUGGAUCAAUUCAGUCAAAAUACGUCAGCUAUGAAAUUGCGAAGACGACCAGAUCUCUCUCGGUUUUCAUAUUUUUCGUGCUUAAUGAGGUUACCAAUGCUUCUCUGUUCUUCAACUUUUCUAGCAGGAUUUCAUUUUGUGUAUGGGGGCUUUGCUUGUCCAUCAAUAUAGCUCUUCGUUGAAUUUUGAUCCAACUGCCAAGCCCAUAUCAUGUUAAUGAGAUUUUUCCAUAUGAAUAGGGCAUGUUUUGAACCAUAUAAAAGGCAUAAUCUGCAUAUAUAAAUUGGUUCCAUUGCAAGAAGUGGUUCGGUAUUAGCAAUAUAAACGAGUGCACUGCACUAUUCUAUAGAAGUAAAUAUUAGGAAAAAUACCUAUUUAGUACUAAUUCAAACCCCUUAUUUCCCAUUCUAAUGAUAAUCUUUUGCAUUAGCCCAUUCCAAUAUAAGGUAACUAUUUUUAUGCCCAAAUGCACAAAUCUUUAUGCCAAAAUGCACAAAUCUUUACUAAAGUCUUAACAAACCAUAUUAUUUUAAGACUAUUUUGCCCCCACCUCUUCAACGUGAAAAGACUUGGCCGGAACCUCGAACUCCGGUCACCGGCCGCCGGACUCCGGACUCCGGUCACCGACCGCCGGAUUCCGUCACCAGAAUUUCCCCGACCGCCUGAUUCCGGUCACCGGAUUUUCCCCGACUUAGUUUUUAGUUACUGACACCCAGUAGUCACUUAGUUUUCAGUUACUGACACCCAAUAAUCACUUAGUUUUCAGUUACUGACCCCUAAUAAUUUUGGUUACUGACCGGAGAGGAGAGAACUGAGGAACCGGCCUGACGGUGAGCACCCACAUUUCUUCUCUGGGCACCUACCUUCCCCGACGGUGAGCACAUCGGCCUCCUCCACCGACCUCGGCGCACGCCGGCAAGCAACGCCCUUCCAGGGGAGUAGGAGAAGCGGUGAGGCAGCUUAGAGCCGGUUUUCGGGGCUGUGCGGUUGUGGGUGAUUUUGCGGAAGCAGACGAGGAGGAAGAAGAGGAGGGAGAAGGCGGUAGUGGCGGCGCCGGCGAGUGGGACGACGAGGUUGGGCUGCGGUAGAAGAGACGACGGCGACGACGCUGGGGACCGGGUGAUUGGGCGCUGCAGAAGGUGGAUCAGGAAGAGAAGGUGGUCGGAGUUGCUGAAGCAGACGAGGAGGAAGAAGAGGAGGGAGAAGGCAGUGGUGGCAGCGCCGGCGAGUGGGACGACGAGGUUGGGCUGCGGCAGAAGAGACCACUGAGACGGCGCCGGGGACCGGGUGAUUAAGCGCGGUAGAAGGUGGAUCGGGAAGAGAAGGUGGUCGGAGGAGAUGAAGUAGCGGUGCUUGUGUGGGCAGCUAGCAUCGUCGGAGGAGGAGGAGGAGGAGGAGGGAGGGGAGAGAGAGAGAGAGAGAGAGAGAGAGAGAGAGAGAGAGAGAGAGAGAGNNNNNNNNNNNNNNNNNNNNUAAAAACUGUUUGAAUUUAAUUAAACACAGGGUAAUAACGUUUUUUUCUCAAGAAUUAUUGGAAUGGGCCCAAAGAUAAGACUUUCAUUGGAAUGAGCUUUAGUUUUUAAAUAUUUGGGCAUUAGGGCAUUUUCCCUAAAUAUUAAUUAAUAUCAUUCAUGAACUUCAAGGGAAUUGUAGUAACAUUAGCCCACAAACUUAAAAUCGCCCACAUCUCGAAAGGUUCUGGCAUUGGUCUAUAACUAUAUGACCAGCACUUGAGUAACACUUAAGUUUUUUCAUGAGCAAUAAACAUAAGGUAUGGUUUUAUGGCAUUGAGAUCUCAUGAGCACGGAUAUUUUGUUGUUGGAAUAGUGCUCACACCAGCACGAUCUAUUGACAGAUCACUCUUAUCUCGAAUUAAUCUUGCAAUAAUUUUGGAAUAGAUAUGGCAACCACAAAUUAAUCAACCUAUUUUGACAGCUGUUUUUCGAUCUGGUGCGACUACUGGAAACUGAAACCUUAGCUAAAUA
rnacentral:lncRNA from 1 species